GAAAAUUGCAUCUCAACAAACCUGUCUUUGGCAAGUACCUGAACUACAUUUCAGUCACUCAGUAAAGUGAUAACUCAAAAUAUCAUUGUCAACAGAUCUGAAGAAAUUGCCACUGCGUCUUUAGACCGUUUUCGUCAGACGAGAGACACAGUUCUGACUCUGAUUACUGGUUGCUGUACGUAUCUAUCCACAUCAAGGCUGUUUUUGAGAGAGACUCGUGAAGAUUCAAGACAGUUCUUAGAGGAUUUGCAGUUUAAAAGUGAAAUAAUUGUGAAAUAAG